GACGAACGCUGGCGGCGUGCCUAAUACAUGCAAGUUGAGCGCUGAAGGUUGGUACUUGUACCGACUGGAUGAGCAGCGAACGGGUGAGUAACGCGUGGGGAAUCUGCCUUUGAGCGGGGGACAACAUUUGGAAACGAAUGCUAAUACCGCAUAAAAACUUUAAACAUAAGUUUUAAGUUUGAAAGAUGCAAUUGCAUCACUCAAAGAUGAUCCCGCGUUGUAUUAGCUAGUUGGUGAGGUAAAGGCUCACCAAGGCGAUGAUACAUAGCCGACCUGAGAGGGUGAUCGGCCACAUUGGGAGUGAGACACGGCCCAAACGCCUACGGGAGGCAGCAGUAGGGAAUCUUCGGCAAUGGACGAAAGACUGACCGAGCAACGCCGCGGGAGUGAAGAAGGUUGUCGGAUCGUAAAACUCGGUUGGUAGGGAAGAACGUUGGUGAGAGUGGAAAGCUCAUCAAGUGACGGUAACUACCCAGAAAGGGACGGCUAACUACGUG
rnacentral:rRNA from 1 species